UCCGCGUUAACCACGGCAGUCUUGCUAGAGUGCUCAACUAAAUGGUAGCAACUAACAAUAAGGGUUGCGCUCGUUGCGGGACUUAACCCAACAUCUCACGACACGAGCUGACGACAACCAUGCACCACCUGUCUUCCUGUCCUCCCCGAAGGGAGAACUUCCUCGAUUAAGAGUAAUGCAGGAGAUGUCAAGUCUAGGUAAGGUUCUUCGCGUUGCUUCGAAUUAAACCACAUGCUCCGCUGCUUGUGCGGGCCCCCGUCAAUUCCUUUGAGUUUUAAUCUUGCGACCGUACUCCCCAGGCGGGGUACUUAUUGUGUUAACGGCGGCACAGGGGGAGUCGAUACCCCCUACACCUAGUACCCAUCGUUUACGGCGUGGACUAC
rnacentral:misc_RNA from 1 species